rnacentral:tRNA from 1 species
GGCGUGGUGGUCUAGUGGUAUGAUUCUUGCUUAGGGUAGUUGCGAAAGAGUCAAGACCUUGCUCUUCUCUCUUUGGCCCUUUCCUACUUGCAAGAGGUCCCGGGUUCGAUCCCCGGCCAGGCCC